rnacentral:lncRNA from 1 species
AAGUUUAUAAGUACGUGAGAAAAACGUAAAUCUAUCGGUUGAGGAAGAAUCCGAUUAGGUCGGAUCGAGUAUAGAUCUCUAGUGUGGCUAGAGAUAGAUCCGGGCGGUGUUAGUUCCGAGUUCGAGGAGUUUGUGUUGGCGGCCGACAACAUGACGCUAAGAGUCAGGACUAAUACAUUGGUGUACGUCCGCUUAUGGUGGAGUUGAGUUGCGUAAUGCAGUAUAUGCUACAAAGUUAAGUAGGUUAGGUGA